CCUUUUUUGUUGUAUUUACUACAACUUAUACCCUUGUCUUUUGCGUACCUUAUGUUUCCUCGGCGGGCUUGCCCGCCGGUUGGACAAACCUAUAACUCUUUUUAAUUUUCAAUCAGCGUCUGAACAAAAAUUAAUCAUUA
rnacentral:misc_RNA from 1 species